rnacentral:rRNA from 1 species
UACAGAGGUCUCAAGCGUUGUUCGGAUUCAUUGGGCGUAAAGGGUGCGUAGGUGGCUUGGUAAGUCGGAUGUGAAAUCCCGGGGCUCAACCCCGGAACUGCAUUCGAUACUGCUGAGCUAGAGUACUGGAGAGGAGAUUGGAAUUUACGGUGUAGCAGUGAAAUGCGUAGAUAUCGUAAGGAAGACCAGUGGCGAAGGCGGAUCUCUGGACAGUUACUGACACUGA